rnacentral:misc_RNA from 1 species
AAACAUGGUUCAACAGCAAAUAUCUUCAAAGUAUGAACGCCCAGUCCCACUAUGCAACAGAUAUAUUUGCCAGGAUGUAUAAUUCGAGGCUGUAGAAUGCAAGUCCAUUAUUAUUGCAGCAACUUCAGCUGACCAAAGGUCAAACACUCUAAUAAUCCAGGCUAUGUCAAUAACUAAAGAAAUUUGUUUUUCCUUGCAAAGAAACAUGAAUUUAUUCUUGACCUUUUUGUUUUCCUUCGCUACACAUUUUGUUCUAAAACCAUAUAUGAUCUACCAAAAGCACAAAGUCCUCAUGCAAACUGCUUCUACCAAUGGCGUUUGCAUGCAUAGGCAUAAUUGCCAAUUGGCGCAACUGCCCACGAACAAGUAGCAUGCACAUGCAUUAUUGGGAAUCCAGAUACAAUAGCCUCUCAAGUUGUCCAGCAACAUUGAAUAACCAUUCUUGCAUCAUUAACUUUCACAGUUAGAAAUGCAGCCAUACGUGUUUGAGAAGAUUUUUUUAGUUCAUUUUAUUUGGAUCAGAACAUGUACUGCUUUUUUUCCUUGGCGCUUCUAUUGGAAGACCCAGAAUCAGCAUAUAAAACAUUAUGCUUGAAAACUCUUCUAGGGUA